UACGUAGGUGGCAAGCGUUGUCCGGAUUUACUGGGCGUAAAGAGCGCGCAGGCGGCUGGUCAAGUCCGAUGUGAAAUCUCCCGGCUCAACUGGGAAACUGCAUCGGAAACUGAUCGGCUUGAAGAUGGGAGAGGGUAGUGGAAUUCCCGGUGUAGUGGUGAAAUGCGUAGAUAUCGGAGGAACACCAGUGGCGAAGGGCGACUACCUGGCCCAUUCUUGACGCUGAGGCGCGAAAGCUAGGGGAGCG
rnacentral:rRNA from 1 species